AAUCCACAAGUGUCAGACUGCAGAAUGAAAAAACAUCUGCAAAUCAAUUUAUUCGCCCCCAGGGGAAAAUUAAAUCCAGGGAAUGAAUUUUGUUGGCCAUAUGUUUGAAGUGUUUAGAACUGUGCCUCAUUAGGAUUAUUAGCAUGAGUAUGUGUGUUAACUACAGCACAUCCAACUGAAGACAGUCUCAAGGCCCUGCAUAGACUUCCAUCAACUUCCAUCCACCAUAAGGCAGUCUGGCUGAGGGUAAAACAGGCUGGCAAGUUUCGGGCAGGUCCUAACAGGGAGUCUGGAAGAAACAAUAGAAAAAAAUAAUUUUCCCCUGGUUCCUGGCUGCAUUGUUUAGUGUUAUCUCUGUUAAAUAAUGUUGUAAUCAUUUAAAAGUAUAAGAGUAAAUAGGCUCCUCUCAACUCUGAGUGGCAACCCAGUUACAGACUUUUUCUCUCUAUGUAUAGUUUGGUCAGAGUUUUAAAACUUGGUGGAAACUUGUAGAACAGCACUUCAAUUAAAUAAAUCCUUUUGUUUGUAUGCAAUUUAAA